CUUCCGUAGGUGAACCUGCGGAAGGAUCAUUACAAGUGAGGCUACCGAACGUUGGAAACAGCGGUUAGGAGCUUACACCCACCCGUGUUUACAUACUAUUGUUGCUUUGGCGGGCCGUGGCCUCCACUGCGGGCUCUGCUCGUGUGUGCCCGCCAGAGGACCAAACUCUGAAUGUUAGUGAUGUCUGAGUACUAUCUAAUAGUUAAAACUUUCAACAACGGAUCUCUUGGUUCUGGCAUCGAUGAAGAACGCAGCGAAAUGCGAUAAGUAAUGUGAAUUGCAGAAUUCAGUGAAUCAUCGAAUCUUUGAACGCACAUUGCGCCCUGUGGUAUUCCGCAGGGCAUGCCUGUUCGAGCGUCAUUUAACCACUCACGCCUAGCGUGGUAUUGGGGCACGCGGUCUCGCGGCCCUCAAAAUUAGUGGCGGCGCCGGUGGGCUCUAAGCGUAGUACAUACUCCCGCUAUAGAGUUCCCCCGGUGGCUCGCCAGAACCCCCAAUUUUUUACAGGUUGACCUCGGAUCAGGUAGGGAUACCCGCUGAACUUAAGCAUAUCAAUAAGCGGAGGAAAAGAAACCAACAGGGAUUACCUCAGUAACGGCGAGUGAAGCGGUAACAGCUCAAAUUUGAAAGCUGCCAACAGGCCGCGUUGUAAUUUGUAGAAGCUGCUUUGGGUGUCGGC
rnacentral:rRNA from 1 species